rnacentral:rRNA from 1 species
UACGGGGGGGGCAAGCGUUGUUCGGAAUUACUGGGCGUAAAGGGCUCGUAGGCGGCCAACUAAGUCAGACGUGAAAUCCCUCGGCUUAACUGAGGAACUGCACGGGAUACUGCGAGACUUGAGUUCGGGAGAGGGAAGCGGAAUUCCGGGUGUAGCGGUGAAAUGCGUAGAUAUCCGGAGGAACACCGGUGGCGAAGGCGGCUUCCUGGACCGACACUGACGCUGAGGCGCGAAAGCUAGGGGAGCAAACGGG